GAUGAACGCUAGCGGCAGGCUUAAUACAUGCAAGUCGAGGGACAGCACAGGUAGCAAUACUGGGUGGUAACCGGCAAACGGGUGCGGAACACGUACACAACCUUCCUUUAAGUGGGGGAUAGCCCAGAGAAAUUUGGAUUAAUACCCCGUAAUAUAGUUGAAUGGCAUCAUUUGAUUAUUAUAGCUACGGCGCUUAAUGAUGGGUGUGCGGCUGAUUAGAUAGUUGGCGGGGUAACGGCCCACCAAGUCUACGAUCAGUAGCUGAUGUGAGAACAUGAUCAGCCACACGGGGACGGAGACGCGGGCCCGACUCCUACGGGAGGCAGCAGUAAGGAAUAUUGGUGAAUGGACGCAAGUCUGAACCAGCCAUGCCGCGUUAAGGAUUAAGGUCCUCUGGAUUGUAAACUUCUUUUAUUUGGGACGAAAAAGGGCCUUUCUAGGUCAACUGACGGUACCAGAUGAAUAAGCACCGGCUAACUCCGUGCCAGCAGCCGCCGUAACAC
rnacentral:rRNA from 1 species